rnacentral:rRNA from 1 species
UACGUAGGUGCAAGCGUUAUCCGGAAUGACUGGGUGUAAAGGGAGCGUAGACGGUUGUACAAGUCUGAUGUGAAAGCCCACGGCUCAACUGUGGGAGUGCAUUGGAAACUGUAGAACUAGAGUAUCGGAGAGGCAAGUGGAAUUCCUAGUGUAGCGGUGAAAUGCGUAGAUAUUAGGAGGAACACCAGUGGCGAAGGCGGCUUGCUGGACGAAAACUGACGUUGAGGCUCGAAAGCGUGGGGAGCAAACAGG